UUCGCCCGAAACAAAUAGCAUCGAUUCUUGCUGUUCUACUGAGAAUUCUCAGUGUGUCAAAAAGACUCAGUGAAUAUUUAUCACAUUUUUUAAAAACUCAACUAUGCUUUUGCAAAAUAAUUUAAAAUAAGUCACAAUUUACUUGGCAAUCUUUGUAAUUGACCCCUGCUAUAGGAUCAUGUCUGCAGCUAGCAGAAUAAACAUCUCGGCUGCCCUCAGCAGGGGGCAGGAAACCAUCAGCCUGUCACCCUGUCCUCUUCCAUUGCCUUCAGCUGGAAAUUAAUGGCAAAUUACAAUGAAAUGCCAGCAGGAUUACUUACGUCAUGUUCAAUAGCUCCUUGGCCACCCCAGAGCCUACACAGCUGUGUCCUGCUGAUUUGACCUUGAGUUUGACUCCUUGGCAUGAUGCAAGUCUCAGCACCCCCAAUAAACAGCAUGAGAAGUAGGACCAUGACCAGGACAUCUUGAACACUUGAGUGGAAUCCUGCCUUAAUUCAGUCCCCACUGUGGCCUGCUACCCCACCCUUGUCUGAAUUUAUGACUUGAAAAGAUACUGGAACUCUCAGCUGUCCCUGGGCCCUUUCUGUGAACUCACCGUGCAGGAUGCUCGUCUCUUACCUGGCCACAUGGAGACAUUGGGAGCCCUGCAUACGAAUGUCAUAAAAAUGACAACACCGAGCUGCACAGCAACGCUUACACAUGCUCUGACAUGUAAUAGCUUCUUUCUAGACUUUCUGACAUCUGGAGCACUGAACAAAGAGAAACAGCUCCAAAAACACCCUCCUUAUUGUUGAAGCUUGCGUUCCUUUGAUUACCAGGCACGUGGUGACCUUGUUUCAAUAUUGAUUCGUCAUUUCUCUCUCCCUUUUGUGCCCCCUCCCAAAGCAACAAAACAUCUCCUGGCCCUCAAAUUCCAGAAUCUUCAGAGCUGAAGGGCUGGAAACAGGGAGGCUGCCAGCAAGAAAACCCUUCCUCCCACAGAGGGAUCUGAAUUUCCCGUGAACAGCCGAAAGGGGCCAGGUGCCUGUUCUUCAGUUAACAGACUGUUCACGCCCAAGCAGAGCAGGACAAUGAAAUAUCCAGAAAACCAGGUUGUUGGUAUCAAUCUUUGUAUUGAAAUUAUUUCAUUUGCUUUCAGACUAUUAGUUUAUCCAAAAACACCUGUUCUUUUGUAUCAAUGUGACUUUCGUGGGUUGUUAUAAAUGCAUGCAACACCGCAAGGCUGGGGUUCCAUUGGUAUCAGACGUGGCACUCACCUAAAUCAUCAUUAAUUAAAAUGUUGUUUAUAUUGAGAAGGUUUAAUCCGUUUCCCCCAAAAUUAUUUCCUUAUAUGUCUACCCAAACGUCUCUUCUUGUGUUCAGAGCAACAGGAGCGCCCUCCUGUGGAUAAGUUAACAACUGGAAUUUUCUGUCCUAAGCCAGUUUCCCAGGGUUGGCUUUGCCAGCGAGUUACUGAAUUCUGGUCUUGUGAGCUGGGAAGUUCAAUUGGACGUUUAUUGCCACGUGAGCAA